CCUUCCUACGGGACGCAGCAGUGGGGAGUAUUGGGCAAUGGGCGCAAGCCUGACCCAGCAACGCCGCGUGAAGGAAGAAGGCUUUCGGGUUGUAAACUUCUUUUAAGAGGGAAGAGUAGAAGACGGUACCUCUUGAAUAAGCCACGGCUAACUACGUGCCAGCAGCCGCGGUAAUACGUAGGUGGCAAGCGUUGUCCGGAUUUACUGGGUGUAAAGGGCGUGUAGCCGGGUUGACAAGUCAGAUGUGAAAUCCUGCGGCUUAACCGCAGAACUGCAUUUGAAACUGUUGAUCUUGAGUACUGGAG
rnacentral:rRNA from 1 species